rnacentral:pre_miRNA from 1 species
UAAUCUAUCUAGGGCAAAUCGCUGUCUAAUUGUGACAAAUAUUUACUUGACUACUCAAAAUCACUUGUUAUCACAAGCUCGAUUAUAUAAGAAAAAUACCAAAUUGGCCCCGAUAAUUAGUUAAAUGGUUUGGUUUGAGAAA